AUUCUAGUGCAAGGGUCUUACACGGAUCAGUGAGGAAAUUUCCGAGAUCGUGUUUUUGCUGGUUGAAAACUACCACCUUGACCACUUCAAGUGGGCCUAACCGCCUGCUUGGGAAUUUUUGAAGCUACCUCUCACGAGU
rfam:Penicillium freii strain DAOM 242723 scaffold_38, whole genome shotgun sequence.